rnacentral:rRNA from 1 species
AAACAUGGAUUCAAUGUUUGGUGAAGUAAUAUGCUUAGUGGCGGACGGGUGAGUAACGCGUGAACAAUCUGCCCUAUACAAAGGAAUAGCCUCGGGAAACUGGGAUUAAAACCAUAUAACACUUUUCGUUCGCAUGGAUGAGAAGUCAAAUUGAUUAAGAGGUAUAGGAUGAGUUCGCGUCUGAUUAGCUAGUUGGUGAGGUAAUGGCUCACCAAGGCGACGAUCAGUAGCCGGCCUGAGAGGGUGAACGGCCACACUGGAACUGAGACACGGUCCAGACUCCUACGGGAGGCAGCAGUGGGGAAUAUUGCACAAUGGGCGAAAGCCUGAUGCAGCGACGCCGCGUGAGUGAAGAAGGUCUUCGGAUCGUAAAACUCUUUAAUAAUGGGAAGGAAUGACGGUAGCCAAGGAGGAAGCCCCGGCUAACUACGUGCCAGCAGCCGCGGUAAUACGUAGGGGGCGAGCGUUGUCCGGAUUUACUGGGCGUAAAGGGUGAGUAGGCGGUUGUAUGUGUCAGAUGUAAAAGGCUAUGGCUUAACCAUAGUUGGCAUUUGAAACUGUACAACUUGAGUGCAGGAGAGGUAAGUGGAAUUCCUAGUGUAGCGGUGAAAUGCGUAGAUAUUAGGAGGAACACCAGUGGCGAAGGCGACUUACUGGACUGUAACUGACGCUGAGUCACGAAAGCGUGGGUAGCAAACAGGAUUAGAUACCCUGGUAGUCCACGCUGUAAACGAUGAGUGCUAGGUGUUGGGUAGCGAUAUUCAGUGCCGAAGUUAACACAAUAAGCACUCCGCCUGGGGAGUACGGUCGCAAGACUGAAACUCAAAGGAAUUGACGGGGACCCGCACAAGCAGCGGAGCAUGUGGUUUAAUUCGAAGCAACGCGAAGAACCUUACCAAGGUUUGACAUCCCCUUGACAGAUGCAGAGAUGUGUCCUCCCCUUCGGGGGCAAGGGAGACAGGUGGUGCAUGGUUGUCGUCAGCUCGUGUCGUGAGAUGUUGGGUUAAGUCCCGCAACGAGCGCAACCCUUAUCCUUAGUUGCCAGCAAGUUAAGUUGGGCACUCUAAGGAGACUGCCGAUGAUAAAUCGGAGGAAGGUGGGGAUGACGUCAAAUCAUCAUGGCCUUUAUGUCCUGGGCUACACACACGCUACAAUGGCCGGUACAAUAGGUUGCGAAGCCGCGAGGCGGAGCCAAUCCUCAAAGCCGGCCUCAGUUCAGAUUGCAGGCUGCAACUCGCCUGCAUGAAGAUGGAGUUGCUAGUAACCGCAGGUCAGCUAUACUGCG